rnacentral:rRNA from 1 species
GUCCACGCCCUAAACGAUGUCAACUAGGUGUUGGGGGAGGAGACUUCCUUAGUACCGCAGCUAACGCGUGAAGUUGACCGCCUGGGGAGUACGGUCGCAAGAUUAAAACUCAAAGGAAUUGACGGGGACCCGCACAAGCGGUGGAUUAUGUGGAUUAAUUCGAUGCAACGCGAAAAACCUUACCUACCCUUGACAUGCCAGGAACUUGCCAGAGAUGGCUUGGUGCCCGAAAGGGAACCUGGACACAGGUGCUGCAUGGCUGUCGU